rnacentral:rRNA from 1 species
GUAAGGAGUUUUCGGCAAUGGGGGGAACCCUGACCGAGCAACGCCGCGUGAGUGAUGACGGCCCUAUGGGUUGUAAAGCUCUGUUAUAAGGGACGAACAGCUUUGCUAGGAAAUGAGCAGAGUCUGACGGUACUUUAUCAGAAAGCCACGGCUAACUACGUGCCAGCAGCCGCGGUAAUACGUAGGUGGCAAGCGUUAUCCGGAAUUAUUGGGCGUAAAGAGUGAGCAGGCGGCAGAUUAAGUUUGAGGUUAAAGCGUGGGGCUCAACCCCAUAAAGCCUUGAAAACUGAUCAGCUAGAGUACGAGAGAUGUGAAGGGAACUCCAUGUGUAGCGGUGAAAUGCGUAGAUAUAUGGAAGAACACCAGUGGCGAAGGCGCUUCACAAGCUCGAAACUGACGCUCAGUCACGAAAGCGUGGGUAGCAAAUAGGAUUAGAAACCCGAGUAGUCC